rnacentral:rRNA from 2 species
AGUCGAGCGGACAGAUGGGAGCUUGCUCCCUGAUGUUAGCGGCGGACGGGUGAGUAACACGUGGGUAACCUGCCUGUAAGACUGGGAUAACUCCGGGAAACCGGGGCUAAUACCGGAUGGUUGUUUGAACCGCAUGGUUCAAACAUAAAAGGUGGCUUCGGCUACCACUUACAGAUGGACCCGCGGCGCAUUAGCUAGUUGGUGAGGUAACGGCUCACCAAGGCAACGAUGCGUAGCCGACCUGAGAGGGUGAUCGGCCACACUGGGACUGAGACACGGCCCAGACUCCUACGGGAGGCAGCAGUAGGGAAUCUUCCGCAAUGGACGAAAGUCUGACGGAGCAACGCCGCGUGAGUGAUGAAGGUUUUCGGAUCGUAAAGCUCUGUUGUUAGGGAAGAACAAGUACCGUUCGAAUAGGGCGGUACCUUGACGGUACCUAACCAGAAAGCCACGGCUAACUACGUGCCAGCAGCCGCGGUAAUACGUAGGUGGCAAGCGUUGUCCGGAAUUAUUGGGCGUAAAGGGCUCGCAGGCGGUUUCUUAAGUCUGAUGUGAAAGCCCCCGGCUCAACCGGGGAGGGUCAUUGGAAACUGGGGAACUUGAGUGCAGAAGAGGAGAGUGGAAUUCCACGUGUAGCGGUGAAAUGCGUAGAGAUGUGGAGGAACACCAGUGGCGAAGGCGACUCUCUGGUCUGUAACUGACGCUGAG